GGUGGUGUGGUGAAAAGGUAUCACGAGUCGUUGUGGCCGACUUAUUCUGGGUUCGAUUCCCAGCACCGCCA